ensembl:lncRNA
CACGGAUGCUGAACCUUUUAUUAAUCUGGUUAAUAAUUGGCUCAAAUAAUAAUUUUGUGUUUAUGUUUCAUCUUUACACAAUACACAGUCCCCACAUAUGAGAUGGUAUAACCUGUAAAUCAUGUGUGAGGGAUAAAUUAGUGUCUGAAAGUGAGACGAGAAAUUGGUUCUUAUCAUUUAUCCUCAAACGGUAUUUAAUUUGACCUGCAAAGAUAGAAAUGGGGAGCCUGGACAGCCUUGUUUUAAUCACUCUAUUGAGAAAGCUUUACUGAGCUAUUUCAUGCAUUAUCUAACGCUCUCACUCAAAAAAGAACACUGUAAAAUAAUGAUCAAUGCAUCAAAGACCACAUAGAAAACAGGGAAUAGUGCAGUAGUAUGGCAGCUAUAUCUCUAAUUUAUUUAAUAUGCAUUAAGUAAUUUUGCUAUUCAUUUGUUUUUAUUUCUUAUCCGGUUGACUAUAACGCAAAAUGCAUAUUUCGUAGCUAAGUAAAAGUAAAUACCAUUUGUUGCAGAAUGAUACAUAAAGGCAGGUGUUUUGGGAUGGUUGAUGACGUCAGUGGGAGGUAUAAAAAAAGCAAAGGCUUGGUCCCCUGUUUCAUUCACGUUUUCUCUACCAAGAAGAACAGAAUCCCCUCCAUCAUGAAGAAACUGUGCGUCGCAGUCGUCGGAGUUUUGCUGCUGGCUUUCCAUCUCACAUCACAGGUGGCCCUGGCGAAUAACGGCACGAAUCCGGACAACACAAACAUCACCACCCCGAGUUCCACGGGGGCUGGUUGUAGGACUACCGCCGCCUUCAUGCUGCUGCUCCCCCCGCUGGCUCUGACCGCUCUUCUCCUCCACAGUGCUGGGUGGGAAAACUUGUCUAAAAAGGCGACGCUCACUUUGAAGCAUUCUGCUCGUUCUAUCCUCUGCACUGGCUCUGCAUGGUCUCUGAAAACUACUUUGGCACCACACCGGUCCUCCUAUCCUGCGUGCAGUGGGAGAACACCUCAGACUCGUGUGCAGUGACCAUCUUCGAUUCUGGUUUCAUUCGCCUGAACAUGAUUUGUAAAUGAGCUAAAUUUGUAACCACUGUGCUUUUAGGGUGUGACUUGAACUGUUUAUUUUUAUGUAGAUUAAAUAAAGCUAUAAAUUGUGAGACCACAUGGCUGACCAUUUCUUUCCUGCUUUGAGUGUUUAACGUUUUCAGGCUAGACUAUAGAGCCAUCAAAUUAAAACUGAAUAAAGGUGGGUCAGCUGAGAAUGAAGGGAAUCAGAUCAAGUGUCCACAACUGCUGGCUCUGCUUCAAACUCCAAGGCUGGAUGAAGGGGAACGAAUACACUGAAGGGGUGUGGCCUAAUUCUCAACUGGCUUUAGCUGCAUGUUUAUUUUACUUUAGUUAAAGCACAAAUUACAUCUGGAGGUGUGUGGGGCACUGACAUUUCUGAAGCGGUUUCCUUCAUCCACAAUCUGGCAACAGUAUCACACAAAGCAAGCCGCUGGUGGCAUUUUAAUAACUGACCAAGCGCAAGUAAAUGAAGGACUGCCGAGGCCUUCCUCCACCUAUUGCAGUGGGCUUAGCUAUAAAGGAGCCGCCUGCUUAUAUGUGAAGGUCGGCGGCGGGAUGGAAUUUACC